UCUUCCUCUUCUUCUUUCUUCUUUCUUCUCUCUUCCAUCUUUUCCUCUUCUUCUUUUUUAUCUCUUAUUUCUUCCAUCUUUUCCUCUUCUUUUUUAUGUCUUCUGCUACCUUUGAUUUUGAAAUCCUAUUUUUCUCUCUUCAUUACUUCACUCUGCAUUUCUUCUUCUCCUAAGGAAUCAAACAUUUCAAGAAUGAUAAACGGGGUUACUAAUCGAAAUAGGGGAUACAACGACGGAUCUGGCAUUUUCAGCGAUUUUACGGUGGUGUGUGGUUUCGCGAUGGUGGAUCUAUCAUAAAGCUCCAAAACUUCUGCACAUAUUUUAUGAAUAUAUUAACUGGUAUUUUAUAUGUGCAAAAGUGCUUAACUUUAGAUUUUUAUUUUGUGCUUAUCUUUAGCAUGACUGUUGUAUCACUUCUUCAUUCUCUAAGAAUGUUCACAUUUCAAAGUCGUUGAAUGAUGGACUCUAUGGGAUGCAUCUUCACGUAUACAACUGGCCCGGGGGAGAACUGAAACAAACACUGGACCUUAGUGAAAAAGGACUUUUACCUUUGGAGAUUAGGUUCCUUCAUGACCCCGCUAAAGAUGCAGGUUUUGUUGGGAGUGCAUUGUCAAGUAACAUGAUACAAUUUUUCAAGAAAGAAGAUGAAUCAUGGGGCCAUGAAAUUGUGAUACAAGUGGAACCAUUGAAAGUGCAAGGUUUCUUCCUGAAAUGCCCAGGCUUAUAACUGAUUUUUUGAUUUCUCUUGAUGACCGCUUUCUGUACUUCGUAAACUGGCUUCACGGCGAUAUAAGACAAUAUAACAUUGAGGACAUCAAAAAUCCUAAACUAACCGGUCAAUUAUGGGUUGGUGGCCUUUUCCAGGAAGGAAGCCAUGUCGUUGCUGUUAAGGACGAUGGUGAAACUUUACAAGUUCAUGUUCCAGAGAUUCAGGGAUUUUAAACUUGGUACUCAUGUGUUGUCUUUGUGAAAUAGUCUAUAUGUAUAUAGCACUGCCAUGCCUGCAAGUAGGUAGUUUCAUUGUUUCUAUGAUGAUGUAGGUAAUUGUUAUUUCAUGGGGAUUUUCUAGAAUUUGAUUCUCAUAUUGAUUUUUGUGUUUUAGGUCAAGUAGAACAACUUUGUCUAAAUAGUGUUGCCGAUCAAUACUAUUCUGAAUCAUGACAUUGAUUAUGCUCCACCUGUUGCUUCUCAUGAUACCAUUCCAAUUGAUGCGGAUAUGGAGAUACCUCAUUGGAGUCUUUCGUCGAAUGAGGAGAAGCUGGCUAAAGGGGCACAACAUUGGCAGUUUUUUUUUAUGUUUAUAAAUUAUAGCGCAGGACACACUGCACUUGCAUUAUGAUCUCGAUCCAUUUGAUUCUAUUGCAACAACUGCAUUGGAUUUUGAAAUGAGUUCAUGGUUGAAAGUGACACUGAUAUUACUGGACCAAAAACUCUAGGGAUGCAGCCUCUUGCUUCUCAUGCAAAGCAGAUUCGAGAGGAUGUGUCCAAGCUUUCUUCCUUGUGAUAUUUUCG